GACCUAUGAAUAGAAAAUUGUUAAGUUUUGGUUCAUAUAGAAGAUCCGUAAAAUGUUUGAAAUAAUUUAAUUAUAAAAUACUUUAUUCUUGUGCUGAAAACAUGAAGAAAGGAAGGCUAGUACGCGACUCAAGCCUGUUUUCUCAUUGUUUUGUUAUUGGAGGAUUAAUUUGUUUUCCUUAAGAAAAGUUGUUUAUCAAAUUUCUCUUUUCUUUAAAAGAUUGACGAAUUAUUCCAAUCAAUUGUUUGUUAAGCGGGUUGCAUAUUCCUCAAGUUGCUAAAAGCUUUACGUCUUUGGAAUGUUUGUUGUACAGUUUUCCUCUAAAGAAAUGUCUUUUCCCGCUCAUUAGGAUAAAAUUCUGCAUCAAUGAUUUUGUUUGGUUGUUUUAUUUACUACCUUGCAUCUAUGUGCUUAUAAACAUCUAAAAUUUGAAAUUUGAAAUGUUUCAAAUUUACAUUUUUA